GAUGAACGCUGGCGGCGUGCCUAAUACAUGCAAGUCGAGCGAACAGACGAGGAGCUUGCUCCUCUGACGUUAGCGGCGGACGGGUGAGUAACACGUGGAUAACCUACCUAUAAGACUGUGAUAACUUCGGGAAACGGUGUCUAAUACCGAAUAAUUUAUUGACCCUCAUGGUUCACUCGUUAAAUACGGUUUUUCUUUCCCUAAUGGCUUAAUCCGCCCCGCAUUAACUGGUUGUUAAGGUAACGGCUUACCAAGGCAACGAUGCGUAGCCGACCCAAGAGGGUGGUCGGCCACACUGGAACUGAGACAGGGUCCAGACUCCGACGGGAGGCAGCAGUAGGGAAUCUUCCGCAAUGGGCGAAAGCCUGACGGAGCAACGCCGCGUGAGUGAUGAAGGUCUUAGGAUCGUAAAACUCUGUUAUUAGGGAAGAACAAAUGUGUAAGUAACUAUGCACGUCUUGACGGUACCUAAUCAGAAAGCCACGGCUAACUACGUG
rnacentral:rRNA from 1 species